GAUGAACGCUAGCUACAGGCUUAACACAUGCAAGUCGAGGGGCAUCAGUUUGGUUUGCUUGCAAACCAAAGCUGGCGACCGGCGCACGGGUGAGUAACACGUAUCCAACCUGCCUCAUACUCGGGGAUAGCCUUUCGAAAGAAAGAUUAAUAUCCGAUAGCAUAUAUUUCCCGCAUGGGUUUUAUAUUAAAGAAAUUCGGUAUGAGAUGGGGAUGCGUUCCAUUAGUUUGUUGGCGGGGUAACGGCCCACCAAGACUACGAUGGAUAGGGGUUCUGAGAGGAAGGUCCCCCACAUUGGAACUGAGACACGGUCCAAACUCCUACGGGAGGAAGCAGUGAGGAAUAUUGGUCAAUGGACGCGAGUCUGAACCAGCCAAGUAGCGUGAAGGAUGACUGCCCUAUGGGUUGUAAACUUCUUUUAUAUGGGAAUAAAGUGGUCCACGUGUGGAUUUUUGUAUGUACCAUAUGAAUAAGGAUCGGCUAACUCCGUGCCAGCAGCCGCAGUAA
rnacentral:rRNA from 1 species